rnacentral:rRNA from 1 species
ACGGGUGAGUAACACGUAGGAACUUGCCCUUUAGAGAGGGAUACCCAAGGGAAACUUUGGUUAAUACCGCAUAUACUCGAGAGAGGAAAGGAGCCUGUAAAGGUUCCGCUAAAGGAGAGGCCUGCGUCCGAUUAGCUAGUUGGUGUGGUAAGAGCGCACCAAGGCGAGGAUCGGUAACUGGUCUGAGAGGACGACCAGUCACACUGGGACUGAGACACGGCCCAGACUCCUACGGGAGGCAGCAGUGGGGAAUAUUGGACAAUGGGGGCAACCCUGAUCCAGCGAUGCCGCGUGGGUGAAGAAGGCCUUCGGGUUGUAAAGCCCUUUAGGUUGGGAAGAAAGGUUGCUGAGGAAAUGCAGUGACUAUGACGGUACCGACAGAAUAAGCACCGGCAAACUCUGUGCCAGCAGCCGCGGUAAUACAGAGGGUGCGAGCGUUAAUCGGAAUGACUGGGCGUAAAGGGCGCGUAGGCGGCAAGGCAAGUGUGAUGUGAAAGCCCUGGGCUUAACCUAGGAAGUGCAUUGCAAACGACCGAGCUGGAGUAUAAGAGAGGGUGGCGGAAUUUCCGGUGUAGC